UGAGGAAUAUUGGUCAAUGGGCGGUAGCCUGAACCAGCCAAGUAGCGUGCAGGAUGACGGCCCUAUGGGUUGUAAACUGCUUUUAUGCGGGGAUAAAGUCACCCACGUGUGGGUGUUUGCAGGUACCGCAUGAAUAAGGACCGGCUAAUUCCGUGCCAGCAGCCGCGGUAAUACGGAAGGUCCGGGCGUUAUCCGGAUUUAUUGGGUUUAAAGGGAGUGUAGGCGGCCUGUUAAGCGUGUUGUGAAAUGUAGAUGCUCAACAUCUGAACUGCAGCGCGAACUGGCUGGCUUGAGUACACGCAACGUGGGCGGAAUUCAUGGUGUAGCGGUGAAAUGCUUAGAUAUCAUGAGGAACUCCUAUUGCGAAGGCAGCUCACGGGAGUGUCACUGACGCUUAAGCUCGAAGGUGCGGGUAUCAAACAGG
rnacentral:rRNA from 2 species